rnacentral:rRNA from 1 species
AACUAACGAGGAUUCCCCUAGUAACUGCGAGUGAAGCGGGAAAAGCUCAAAUUUCGAAUCUGGCGGCCAUGGGUCGUCCGAGUUGUAAUCUAGAGAAGCGUCUUCCGCGCCGGACCCGUGUACAAGUCUCCUGGAAGGGAGCAUCGUAGAGGGUGACAAUCCCGUCUUCGACACGGAUCCGCCGGUGCUUUGUGAUGCGCUCUCGACGAGUCGAGUUGUUUGGGAAUGCAGCUCAAAUCGGGUGGUAAACUCCAUCUAAAGCUAAAUACAGGCGAGAGACCGAUAGCGAACAAGUACCGUGAGGGAAAGAUGAAAAGAACUUUGGAAAGAGAGUUAAACAGUACGUGAAAUUGCUGGAAGGGAAACGCUUGACGUCAGUCGCGUCGUCCGGGGAUCAACCUUGCUUCUGGCUGGGCGUACUUCCCGGUCGACGGGUCAGCAUCGAUUUCGGCCAUCGCAGAAGGACGGGAGUGAAUGUGGCACUCUUCGCGGAGUGCGUUAUAGCCUCUCGUAUGGACGCGACGGUCGGGAUCGAGGAACUCGGCACGACCCCUCGAGGGUUCGGGGCUUCGGUCCACGCAGCGUGCCAAGGAUGCUGGCGAAUGSYCUUAAGCGACCCGUCUUGAAACACGGACCA